rnacentral:rRNA from 1 species
CACGUAGGCGGAUAUUUAAGUCAGGGGUGAAAUCCCAGAGCUCAACUCUGGAACUGUCUUUGAUACUGGGUAUCUUGAGUAUGGAAGAGGUAAGUGGAAUUCCGAGUGUAGAGGUGAAAUUCGUAGAUAUUCGGAGGAACACCAGUGGCGAAGGCGGCUUACUGGUCCAUUACUGACGCUGAGGUGCGAAAGCGUGGGGAGCAAACA